AGGAUGAACGCUGGCGGCGUGCUUAACACAUGCAAGUCGAACGAUGAAGGCUGGAGCUUGCUCUGGCUGGAUUAGUGGCGAACGGGUGAGUAACACGUGAGUAACCUGCCCCAGACUCUGGGAUAAGCGCUGGAAACGGCGCCUAAUGCCGGAUACGAGCUUCCACCGCAUGGUGAGGAGCUGGAAAGAUUUCGGUCUGGGAUGGACUCGCGGCCUAUCAGCUUGUUGGUGAGGUAAUGGCUCACCAAGGCGACGACGGGUAGCCGGCCUGAGGAGGGUGACCGGCCACACGUGGGACUGAGCACGGCCCAGACUCCGUACGGGAGCAGCAGUGGGAUAUG
rnacentral:rRNA from 1 species